rnacentral:rRNA from 1 species
GACGAACGCUGGCGGCGUGCCUAAUACAUGCAAGUCGAACGCAGUGGGGACGGGUGAGUAACACGUGGGUAACCUCCCAUCAGAGGGGAUAACACUUGGAAACAGGUGCUAUCCCGAAAUGGCUGGAUGGCCCCGCGUGGCAUUAGCUAGUGGGUGAGGUACCGGCUCACCAAGGCCACGAUGCUUAGCUGACCUGAGAGGGUGAUCGGCCACACUGGGACUGAGACACGGCCCAGACUCCUACGGGAGGCAGCAGUAGGUAAUCUUCGGCAAUGGACGAAAGGCUGACCGAGCAACGCCGCGUGAGUGAAGAAGGUUUUCGGAUCGUAAAACUCUGUUGUUAGAGAAGCGGUAUCUAACCAGAAAGCCACGGCUAACUACGUGCCAGCAGCCGCGGUAAUAC